AUUUUGUGCGAGGUGGAGAGCUUGUUACUCGGUUGCCAUGUCGUCUCACAAGACGUUCAGAAUCAAACGGUUCCUAGCCAAGAAACAAAAGCAGCAUCGUCCAAUUCCUCAGUGGGUUCGAAUGAAAACCGGUAAUAGGCUCAGGUACUCUUACCGAUAAGGAAGAAAUUCCAAUGACUACAAAAAGCAGUAAUAAGUCAUAUAUUAUUAUUGAGCCUUUGGAGGAACUGAGGCACAAAGUUAUUAAGUGAUUCAUCAAGUGAAUGUUCAGCCACUUGAACAUCCUCAAGUCAACAUUACAAUGUCUUUUCUAUGCUCUUGUUUCCAUUCUCUAACCAGUUUCUGACCAAGUAAAAAACAUCUCCCAAAUGCCUGGGAAUAAAUAGAAAUUCUUGCACCUGAGGAAAAGCACAAGAACAAAGGAGGCCAUUUACCAAGCUUCAUGGACCACAGAUCAUCACGGGGACAUGGAGAUGCAAUGUGAGAAUGCCAUACUUAACCUAAAAAGUCAAGGAGUAAAUUGCCCUUUGGGGAAGAAGAGCCCAAGAAUAGAGAAUUUGUCUUGGUUUCCACAAUGCAUCAGUCUUCAAAGGCCCCUUCUGCUCCCAUCAGGGGUUUUGAAUCAUCCACAAGCUCUGUCACUUUCCUUCUGCUUCAAAUGGAAGAGAACACUCUUGUUUUGCCCAUGAACUGGCUUCUAUAACUCCAGAAUGUUUUCAAACUUCCCAGGGUUAUUGUGUCAGAAUGUAGAUCAUAUUUUGUUCCAGAGUUAAGGUUGUUGUUCUUGUUACUGAUAAUAAAAGCAAAAAAUAUAUAAAAAGGUA